AAAAAUUGAUUGAAAAGGAACGAUCUUUUUGCAUAUGCCUUGAAUUAGAUGUUGAUGAUUAAAUCAUGGUUCAUGACUUCAGUUAUCUUGAUGCGAUUAUUUCUGGGAAAGUAAAGCAAGCACCGUUACAGAAGAUUUUCACAGUAGGGAUGUUUGAUCAGAGGCUUGUAGUUGUAGGAGCCACCAAUCAGCCAAAACCAGCUCAGUGGCAUAGAAUUGCAGUGCACAAGAGUGGUCUAGAGCAUCUUAUUGUAGAAUGGUGGUCUGUGAUUUUACAAGACAGUAGACCUGCAAUUUCUGCAUUUUUUGUUCAAUUGGUGCUGGGACAGUCUAUGACAAGAGGCAACCAAGUUCUGUGCCAGUUAAGACAAACCAUUGAUGAAUUGGAAAUGAUGCAUACAUGAGAAUAUUGUACACUUUCUCGUUGAAUUAAAUAUGAUGCAUUACGACA